rfam:Loxodonta africana unplaced genomic scaffold scaffold_68, whole genome shotgun sequence.
AAAUGUUGGGGUGCUGGGGGAUUGGAUGUCACAGGCAGGAGGAAGUGCAGCUCAUACUAGCCAUGAGGAAAAGGCAGGACUGAUCAUAGGCAGGACACCCAACCAGCUGGCUGUCCCUCAGGCCAGAAGGGCCUUGGAGACACACUACCCACUGCGGCCAAGGGGCACCGACUAUUGGGCCAGGAUGGCACCAAGAUGCAGUUAGGAGU